rnacentral:lncRNA from 1 species
CUAUAGCUCUGGGUUUUUUUUUUGCAGAUUUUCAAAUAAAACUCAGAGAUUCCUUGUAUGACUCUCUAAAUCUCUCUUUUGUGGUAUUUCUGGAUCCUUACCAAGGCAUUGAUGGUAUAUGCCUUCUCUCAAGAUAUGUGGUAUUUGUGGUAUAAGGCAUAGUGAUAUUGCCUUCUCUCUCACCCUACUCUAAUAAGGCUUGAUAUCUGGAGCUCAUAGGUGGGAGACAGCUAAUACAUACUUACAAGAUAUUUAUUGCAUAGUCAAACCAUGGAGCCAGAGAAACAAGUCAAUAUGUCAAAUCAAGAUGUGCAUGUGUGGCGAAUGAAUGGUGUAUGGUGAUGAUGGUGAUAACAAUGGUGAAAGUCUAAUUCUACUUUUGCUCUUUUGAGGGUAUACAUACCUUUCUUGCACUUUGAAGCUUUUUGGGGAGAAUGAGAUGCUCUAUAUUUUCUUUUUGUUUCCUCUCAGGUGGGUAUCUUGUACCCCUAAUUCUACUGUCGGACACUUGUCCAUUUUUACCUCUCGUCUCACUUUUUUCUUUUCUUUCGAGGUUCCGGGCACUUGCUCCUUUUUAUUUCCUCGUUUAUAUAUAUUUUUUUUUUCUUUUCUUUUUUUUUUCAGAGCACUCAUCUCUUGAGAUAAUAUAGCAAGUGGUAGUAACCAAAAUAUUUGGAGCAUUUAUUUCAUAGGGAAUAACAGGGAUAGGAAAAUGUUUUUGACUAUUCUCUCCCGGAUUAGGAGUAGAAUAUUUUUGGGUGAUUCUGGAGAUGGAAAUGGAUGGAUAUAUGUGGAUGGUACUUCCGGAGUAGAAGUAGCAUAUAUGAGUGAACGUGCAAGUGAAUCUUGAUUUAACCACAUGACAAGCUCCUAAGGGUCUACACAGCUUGACCACACUCAUUGUUCAUAAGCAGUAAAAAGUAAAUAUGUGGCUCAAAGUCUAGCAAGCAUGUAUAUAUGGCUGUGGUAGGAAUUUGAACUCUCAUCAUAUAGGAACUCAUCAUGCAAUAUUUUAAAGAUUUUUCAAAAUAAAAUUUUCCAGAAUUCUAGCAUCUCUAGGAACAGAUAAACAGCAGCUCAACCUUCCCAUAUCAUAUCCGUUAACAACUUAGAUUUCAGAUCAAGUUUUCAUCCCACAAGUUUAGAUCUAGAGCAAGCUUUAAAUUAUAACAGUUGUGUCUAAACUUGAGAGAGAACUUCAAAAUUGCAAAUUAGGCAGAGCAACUAUUCAUCAUAUCCAUGCUAGAGUUUUAUUAUUAAGAUUCAGAUUAGCAUAGCCACUUUAUUUAUUUAUUAAACAUACUAAGCAAAAGAUAUAUAUAAGCACAAAAUAUUUAUUUGGUUUUUCACAGUUUAUGUAUUUUAAUAUUCUAACAUAAUAUAAGUAUAAAGAUAGGUAGAAAUACUUAGCGAGAUAAAUGGGGGUGCUCUCCCCCAAGCUGAAUUUUGACAUAAUUUUUCUUGAUGUAGCUAGCAGGUGGCAGAGGUGUAUUUGAAAGUCAGCAGCAUUCUGACAGCGAUUAGAAUGUCCUCCGUCUGCUAGUCUUCUUGAUUCUUAAAUUCUGUGGAGCUCAAAUAGACAACAAAGCUUGUGGAACUAAUUAAGUGUUAGCAUAAAUAUCUAGCCUUCAUCAUGUUGAGCUUCCUUAAUAAAUGUUACUUAUUUAGCAGGAUCAUGCACUUAUUAUUUUUAUAUUUUUAUUGUAAGAUGAAAACUUAUUUAUUUUAUUUUUAUGCCACCAUAGUGAAUGUACUUAUGGGUUUUAUGCGAUGAGCAUAAUCACAUGGGGCUUACUAUUUUUUUAACAUUUUUAUUUUCUUUUCAAGAUAGCAUGAACCUGAUUAACUAAGCAAACUAUAAUUGAAUAAUUGAAAGGAAAAGGAUAACUACCAAGUUUACCUCUUGGCAAGGCGUUCGGUGUUUUUAAGUCCUCCGAACGGGACUCUCCGUUUUCUCAGUCGUCCUGGGAUUCGCUAGGUGGCGUAGUCGGUGAUUCCGGCGGCGCCUCCUCUUUGUUAUAACUAUCUUCUCUCUCCACACCUGACUCGGCGCUAACGGUCUCCUCAGGACAGUUCUGUUCAAGCUAUAUGUGUUCAGACCUUAUCACUUCUCCUUCGUAGUCUACCCAUCCGUCCUUGAUGAUUUGCCUCCUCUGGUUACGGUUGCGUUGUCUUCUUCUUGUCCUGACCUGCUUAAAAUCUUCAACUAUAUAGUUAGAAUCAUUAAAGUAGUGGCGCACCUUCUCAGAGGGGAAGUGCAUGUGGACAUCUCUGGUUCCAAUGUAGAUGAUUGCUUUGAUAGUGUUGAGGAACGGUCUUCUAAGGAUGGUGGGUGCAUCAUACUCGUCUUCUCCCAUGUUAAUGACCUAAAAAUUACGUGGAGCCGAAUGUAUGUUGGUUGUAGGAGCAUGGUUCCAUGCAGGAGCUGAUAAGUGACUGCGGCCAUUAUGUUGUCGUCAGAUCCGGUGUCGUAGAGUGUCUUCUAAAAAGAGUAUCCAUUGAUUGUGCACUCAAUGCUUGGAACACCAGGGUCAUCCUUCUUGAUCAAGAAAGGUGACUUGAGUCGACGAUCUUGACAUCCUUGAGCUGCAGUGACCAUCUCAGCUGACUCGGUCCACAUUUUCUUGUUCUUGUUCCUCCUAUUGGUCCUCUUCCUUGGUUCAUGUCGGGAUUGCUCUGAAGCUUGUGUAGUCUUGUUCUUGAAGGAAAGUCUCCUUCUUCCCCUUGAUGUAGAGACUGAUCUUGGCAGCAUUAGCGUAGAUGACUGCUCUGGUGUUUAGGAAUGGCCUCCCUAAGAUGAUGGGUGCCCUCUCCUCACUACCAGUCUCUAUCACCACGAAGUUUGCUGGAGCGUACAAGGUACCAACUCGGACAUAGAGUUUCUUCAAUAUUUCCUUUGGGAAACUAAGUGUCUGAUCUCCAUUGUGUUUGUGCUCGUAGAUCCCGGUUCUUCACUUGAUGGAAUCUGGGAGUUGUAAAACUCCUCCAUGUUUUGUUUGAAGUGUACCUAUUCAUAGAGACAAGGCAGAGAUCAAGUGCAUGGGCCCUGUUGGUGGAAAACACCAACAGAACCAAAAGUGUAUUUUUUCUUCUCUAACCUUAAGCAUAGUGAGCAAGACAAAGUUGAUGGAUAAUAAGAUCAUGAGUGUAGUAUUUGAAAAUUUUGUCAGAUCAGAUGGCUCAACCUAAUGGAAAGAUAAUCUAUCUAUAUUUAUGUUUUGUUUAUAUCUUCCAAAUAUUGAAUGUGCAACAUAUUAGCUUAUAUGUUUAGGAGCGUGGGAUCACGAAGGUAGCACUAAGAACAAAGAUUAAAGGACUAAACAUGUUGAAUUAAUUGAGUUGGUUAAUCUGGAGUUAUAAAUCAUACAUGUUUGUCUCUUUAUUUAUGUGAAUGCUAGAACCAAGGAGAAACUUAUAAAAGCGAUAGUCAAGUACCUUAAGGUGUUACCUUACUUGAAGAGUGACGGUACAGUAUCACCUUGUGGAAGCUUUCCUUUCUUAGCGGUUGUGCAUCGUGUUUGUGGCACCCACCAUGAAUCAUCUCUUAUGAGCCACGUCUUUCUUGUGCAAAUUGUUAAACUUCAUGUGUCACUUUCUUCAUCUCCAAUGCGAGUUUAUCUCAGGACUUCCCAGGUUGAUAUUGAAAGUUUUCCUGCAGGGGUUAGUCCAACAAAAUAUCCCCUAUCUACUAUAGCAUACUAUCGGCUUAAAAAUCAACCUAGACACCAUGUCUAAUUUGAUUUAGAAGGACAUUUUAACCUAAGCACCAUGCUUAAUUUAAAACCCCUUGGAAGUAAGAUCAUCAUUCCUAAACUAAGCACCAUGCUUAAUUAAGAGAUAAAUGAAACUAUUCCAAACCUAGACAUAUACUAAAGCAAAUAAAGGUAGCAUGAGAGCAUUUAUAUUAAGUGGAGAUGAAGUAGUGUAAUUAGUAUUUAACAAAUUGAGCAUGUCUCAAAGGUAAGGACAACCAACGUAGCAACAUGGCAAAAGAUGUUUUUUAUGUAAAGUACUCCCCCAAGCUUGAAUUUUACAAAAUUCAAGUUUGGAUGAAUUUAAUUCAAUGUUGUGUGAUGGUUGGUUGGACAUACCCUAUGCUUGUCAUUCAUCCGAUCUUCUUGCUCCAAUCCUGGAAAGGUUAGUGACAAGAAUACCCGAAGGAAUAUUUCUACAAUUAUCUUUAUAUGCUUAAUACACAAGGCAAUGUUGCAAAUAAUUAGAAGUUCAUGUUAUGAUCUGAUAAGUGCUUGUUUUAGGACACUAAGCUUGUCCUUGGGAAACCAUCAAGUUAUGUUGGUGAAGUGGUUUCCCCUCCAACACCUACCUAUAUCAAGAUCAACUCAACGAGAUCUGCAAUAUUUAUUAUAGACAUAUGCAUCGACAACCACACUUUUAAAGUUUUUAUAAAUGAAGAGGGAGAGGGGGUUGGAGAUCUCAAAUGUGGUAAGGAUGGAGAGACAAAUUGAUUGGAGAGAUGUUUUAUAUGAGCAAGGACUGGGUGAGGUAUUUAUGAAAUAACUUCCAUGCUCACUGUUGUUUCUCUCAUUCUUAAACUCCAAGGAUGAUUCUUCAUGAAUGCUUAAAAUUCCUCUAGGAUUGUCUCUCAAGUUUGUUUUAUCUAUCCAUUCAAUGGUGAUAGCACAUGGAUUUUUAAUGCCCUCUAGCCAUUGAUGUUGCUCUUCUCGAUCCUCCUUCUUAUGCAUGGGAUGUCUAGAGAGAUUCAUAGGAUUAUCGGGAGGUUCAAGAGAAAAAGCAUAGUAGAAAUUAUUAAGCUCAAGGAUGGGUUGGAUAGCCGAAUUAUGGGAUUGAAAUGUUUGGAAAUCGACUAUUGAAACUUCCUUUCCUCGUCUGGGAGAUGAUUCCUUCUCUAUUUCUAAGAUUUUUCUAUGAAGACUAGUGCAAGAAGGAUGUCCACAAAUGAAGACAUACCUUCCUUUACUAAUAGAUAAAGAAAGAAGGACUCUACCAAAGGUUAUAUGAUUAAGACCAAUGUGAAAAUAUUUAGGAAAAACAUGGUCUUGUAGGGCUAGGUCUAAACCAUAAUUUAUAGAAAGAUUAAAAGAUUCCCUAGGUGUAGCUAAAAGUGCAUUAUCUUCUUGAUUAAAAGAUAGGACCUCGGCUAUAGAAAAGGGUUGGUUUUGACCUAUUGCAAUCAACUCCGGACACAUAUCAUAAUUAGGGGCAGGACGUGUUGACUCCCAUGGUCUAUGGCUGGUCUCCGAAGGUGCAAAGAAUUUAAUAAUAGGUAUGGAAUUUGAGUUAUCCAUAAAGAUAAAAAUAAAAAGAUAAAAGAAUAAAAGUAUAAAAGUAUAAUACAAGAUAAUAGCAAGACUCAAAGUUAUCUCAGCAAACCGUCUUUCUCCCCGGCAACGGCGCCAGAAAUGCUUGUUGAUAUUUGGUAACGCAAUAAGGAAACGAUCCGCAAGCGCACGGAUAUCGGUGAGCAUUUCACCCGGGAGGUUAUCCAGAGUUAUCGUAUUUAUAUUUUUACCACUGGGAGAAAGGGUGCAUCUGACUAACCAAAUCUAUUGCUACUAUCCCUUUAGGCUACAAAGAAUGUCUCUCGAUGUGAGUGAUAAAUAGAGAAGACUGCAACCGUAGUCUCCUUCUAACCUUGGUAAGGAUGAUCUACUGUUCUAAUGGGGAGGCUAAUGGAAUCUAGACAACACAAAGGAUGUUCGACCCGCACCUAUAAACCCUAUCCUUCCUGCUAACGAGAUGUGAUCUGCAAAGGUAACUCGGAAUUGUCACGUUCCUCACUACUACCACGGUCCAGCUAGUCAGGGAAUAUCUAUGAGUACCCCAGCCUAAACACCACGUUUACGCCAGCAAUGAUUACUCUAAACUCUACGCGAAGAGAUUAAAGUAAACUCAUAAACCAUAAGAACAAUAAAACAAGAACUUACUAGAAUUUAGAAGUCGAAAUACUGAAGAAUCCUAGGAGCAAGCUUCGGGUUAGGAGAACUUGAUCCCGCAGGUACAAGCUUGGAGUAAACACCGACAGGCCGGGCUUCCUCCAAUCUACACCUCCACUCUAUCUCUCGCAAUCAAGUAGAAACUAGAAGAUCUAUUUCUACCUUACAUUGGUUGCUAAGCCUAAAACGAAAUAUUAAUUAGAGAAGAGGUUUUCCUUCGAGGGCACCCCUCAGUCUCUAUGAUAAUUUCUUCAUGUCUUCUCCAGGGGCCAGGGGCCUUACUUAUAUAGUCCUCCUCCUCUGUGCGUUUUUGGUUCAGCAGGCGAUGUGGUACUAAACUUUGCACCCUAUCUCAUUAAAAUGCACAUAGGCCUUAAUGGACCAAAAUCUGAUUUGGGCCCAAUUAAUCCCGCAACUCUUUUAUGUGGUGUCCUUCUUUUAUUAAUAUCUCUCGAUUCCGAACUCCAAAUAUAACAAAUAAUAUAUGCAUUUCGAUCAGCUCGACGAGAUCUUUGCAAUGGUGGACUCCAUUAUGUGAUUGGUGGAAACACCUGGGCGGGCGCCCAAGGGGGGUGGGCGGGCGCCCUGCCCCCGGGCCCGUUUGCCUUCUCGUUCGUUCCCGUGGCUUCUGGAGUCUUCUAGAUGAUAGAAAAUUGCGCAGUGCGUUGAUAUCUCUAUGUAAUCCUGACAUGUGGGCCUUUCUUCCGUAUUUCCAGAUAACCCCCUGUAGAAAUAGACAAACACCAAAACUCGUGGAAUUCUGUCAGAUAAAACCCUAAGUCUAGAUGUUGAUUUCAUUUGGAUCCUUUUCUUUGUUUAUUUGAUAAUUAAAUUUGAUACUUAAGGACCGUCAACAGCCUCCUCUUCAUGUAUAGUUAUCUUCAUUUUCCAUACCUAACUCGGUGCUUCAAUCUCCUCUGGAUAAUUCUAUUUAAACUCAACGUCUUCUGACCUUACAACUUCUCCUUCAUAGUCUGCCCAUCCGUCCUUGAUGAUCUGCCUCCUCUGGUUGUGGUUGCGUCUCUUUCUGACCUGCUUAGAUUCUUCAACAAUAUAGUUAGGGUCAGUAAAAUAACGGCGUACCUUCUCUGAGGGGAAGUGCAUAUGGACUUCUCCGGUUCCAAUGUAGAUAAUUGCUUUAACGGUGCUGAGAAACGGUCUUCCAAGGAUGAUGGGUGGAUCAUACUCAUCUUCUCCCAUGUCAACAACUUGAAAGUCUGUGUAGACAAAGUGAUCAUCUAUUUUGACUGGGACAUCAGUUACUGUUCCUUUGACUUCUCGGAAUGUCUGAUCUGCCAUCUAGAGCUGAAUGUAUGUUGGUCUUAGUGGCAUGGUCCCGAACAAGAGCCGAUAGGUGACUGCGGCCAUUAUGUUGACGCCCGAUCCGGUGUUGCAAAUCGUCUUGUAGAAGUUGUAUCCAUUUAUGGAGCAGUAGAUGCUUGACAUUCCUGGGUCGUCCUUCUUGGUCAAAAACGGUGACUUAAGUUGAUGAUCUUGGCCUCCAUGGACUACAGUGACCAUCUUAGCUGACUCGGUCCACACUUGCUUGUUCCUGUUUCUCCUGUUGGUCCUCUUCCUUGAUUUACGUCUGGAUUGAUCUUGAAUUUGUGUAGUCUUGUUCUUGAGGAAAAAUGUCUCCUUCUUCCCUUUGACGUAGAAACUGAUCUUGGCAGCACUAGCGUAGAUGAUAGCUCCCGUGGUGUUCAAGAAUGGCCUUCCUAGGAUGAUAGGUGCUCUCACAUCAUUUCCGGUCUCUACCACUACGAAGUCUGCUGGGGCAUACAAGGUACCAACUCGGACACAAAGGUUCCUCACUAUUCCUUUUGGAAAAGUUAUCGUCUGAUCUGCAAACUGCAAACACAUGGUUGUUUCUAGUAAAGGAUAUGUAAAGAAUUUCUCAUAGAGUACCCUGGGUAUAAUGUUGACACUAGAGCCAAAGUCGCAGAGUGCUUCUGGAACGUCCACCAUGCCGAUGGAGAUCGGGAUGACGGGGCGUCCUGGAUCGCCUCUCUUGACCGGUAGCCGGUCAGUAGAAAAUUCAGUGACGGGGUUACUCCAAUUACCUGAGUAGUUACGCCUCUGUUGAUUCCAACCUUGAUUUUGUUGAGGACGGUUGUAGUAGUAGUAGUAGUUGUUGUUGUUGAUGUAGUUCACAUCCUCAAGCAUCUCAGGGCAGUGGUUGCCUGAGUGUCCAGUGUCUCCACACUCCUCACAAGUCAUGUGAGAGUCGUAGAUGUGCAUAACUUCUUUCUUGUCUCCAGCUCUAUCGUCGAGCUUCUUCAUGAGCAGGUCUAGCUUUGCAGACAGCAUGUCUACCUCCUUCAGCUGAUGCAUACCUCCACCUCUCUUGCGUGUCUGGGUCCUCUCUUCAUUCCAGCUUUGGUUGGACGCCAUCUUCUCCACAAGAGCUGUGGCUUGUGGUAUAGUAAGUGAUAAGAAUGCUCCUCCAGCUGCAGCAUCCAUAGUCUCUCGGGCACUGUUGCUGAGCCCAUGAUAGAAUGUCUGCAUCAAUAGCCAACUCUCCAUUCCAUGAUGGGGACAUUCUAGGAUGUAGUCUUGAAAGCGCUCCCAUGCUUCUGGAACAGAUUCAUCAUUUUGUUGCUGAAAACUUAUAAUCUUCCCACGGAGAGCAUUAGUCUUGCCCAUGGGAAAGAACUUAGCCAGGAAGUUUGUUGAGCAGAGUGCCCACGUAGUAUUCUUCUCCUUUGUAGCGUAGAACCACUGCUUCGCUCUUCCUAAUAGUGAGAAUGGGAAGAGGCGAAGUAGUAUAGCGUCUUUGGAAACUCCUGCUAUGGUGAAUGUGUUGCAAAUCUCCAGGAAGUGUUGUAAAUGAGCACUAGCAUCUUCGUGUGCCUUCCCACAGAACUGGUUGGAUUGCACCAUGUUGAUAAGUCCAGGCUUGAGCUCAAAGUUGCCAUCGAUCUCUGCAGCAGGUCCAGUGCGGAUGUUGUCCAUAGUGGGAGCUGAGAACUCGCGGAUCGAUUUGUUCGCCAUGGCUUCGAACUCUGAAGACAAGUUCCGGUGAUCUUCUUGAUUGGAUGAAGCUUCUUCGUGAAGUGUUGUUGAUCUCUUCUUGAGCUUGGCCCUCGUCUUCUUGAAUAAUGCUUCGGGAUUGUCAACAAAAUUUCCUGGAAGAUGUCUUCUAUUCAUACAUUCCCCUGCAUAAGAUAAAAUAGAAAAAUAUCGGGGUAAAACUGUAUGAGAGAAUAGAUAAGCUCAAUCAUAUUAGUGAUGCGAAUGAUAACUCAAAAUCUUUUAUUCCAUUCCUGAUUAGUAAUCAACCUUCCCCGGCAACGGCGCCAAAAAUGCUUGUUGGGUAUUCUUAACAUCAUUACCAAAAGUAGACUAAGUUCUCUAAAUCUAGUAACGGUGCCAAAAAUGCCAAACCUAUCCCUCACACCACUUAAGCCAAGUUGUCAUCCCCAGCAUGAUAUAAGAGACGCGGUAUUGAAAUAUGCAAUUGCUCUUCUAAAUAAAUAAUGAAUGGGACCUGCAAGCGCACAGAUUAAUACCGAUGCAGCAUUUUAACCGGGAAGUAUUCCAGGUAUCGUUAUUUAUAUUUUUACCACUGGGAAGGGAUUAGAAAUCAUCACUAUUGAUUACAGAAUAGAAUAUGUGAUUGAGCAUCUGUCAUUGCAUGUAUAACUGAGAACAUUAUAUCUAACUCUUCAUACAGAGAUAAGUGUCACAUAAAAGAUAUAUGAAAUAAUAAUAGUGACAAGGAUAACUAAUCUGAUCUAGCCACAUAAUAAAUAUGAUAAGCACCUCAAUUAGAUACUCUAGAAAGUCAUUAGCAUGGUAUUAGAACGAACUACAAGAAUAUUCCCUAAGUUAUUCUCAACUAUAUAGUCUAGCAUUAUCAUAGUUAGUGCAAGCAUACUUAGCAAUCAUUGUGAGACAAGACUACGCCCAUACAUAGUGAUAUUAACAAGGAAUAUGAGAAACAUAGCAAUCACACCCCUGUAAUAAUGUUGCUCUGCCAGCCCAAUACACGAGAGGGGGACUAUAUAAGAAUCAAUGAAGCGGUCACUAUCACGAACCACCCCACGAUCUGGCAUAUUGGGUACAAUCGCAGAUAAAUACGGUAUAAGCACCACGCCUACACAAUAUCUAUCAUUUACCCAUGGAUCCGAUGGAUAAACGCUAUACGAUCCUAAGCAUGUAUAUAGAUCCAAUCUAACUAAGCCAAGUGCAUAACUAUGAUAAACUAAGAACAAUAUAAUCUUGAAUAUAAGCAAAUAGAGCAAAGUCAUAAGCAAUAUAUUGAAGUAGAACAAAGUCAUAUUCAUAAUAUUGAAGAACAAAGAUAAUUAGAAAGCAAUUAGAAGCACAAUUAGAGAAUUACCAAGAAUCCUCCUGACAGAUCCGGAAACCAAUCGAAGAUUGACUCCUUCUAGUUCUAAUCCUAUGUAGCUAUGCUAAUCUAGAUGUCUAAUUGAUGUGGUGGCUCUAAUCUUGAUCAGAGGCUUCUUCUCCCUUGAUGGAACAAUGAAUUAGGGUUGAGAGGCUCCCUCCUCCAGGGGCCAGGGGGUCUGGUUUUAUAGUCCCUCCAAGUGAAUAUGGGCCCUUGGAUCAAACCGACAUAGAUUGUAUGGUUUAGAUUCAUCCUUUAGGUCGGUGGAGAUCUCCCGCAAAGCAGAGUCCUGAUUGGACUCAGGGGCAGGGCGGGCGCCCUGACCAACUGGGCGGGCGCCCAGGGUCAGGCCCCGUUUCGCCUCCGCUUCGGUCUCGUGGCUUCUGGAGUCUUCUAGAUGUAAGAUAAUUGCGCAGCACGUUAAUAUCUUUACGUAAUCCCGACAUGUGGGCCUUUCUUCCGUAUUUCCUGAUAACCCCCUGCAGAAAUGGACAAACACCAAAACUCGUGGAAUUCUGUCAGAUAAAACCCUAAGUCUAGAUCUUGAUCUCAUUUGGAUCCUUUUCUUUAUUUAUUUGAUAAUUAAAUUUGAUACUUAAGGACCGUCAACAUCCUUUCAGAAAUAUCUGCCUCUACCGAUGCGAUGACAUACAACGAAUCUCCUGGGAGAAUUUCAAUCUUGUCACCUACCCAUUGAACCAAGCACUGGUGCAUUGUAGAGGGGAUACAAAAAUUGGCAUGAAUCCAUUCUCUCCCCAAUAGCAAAUUGUAGGCACCCUUUCCACUAGUGACAAAGAAAGUCAUCGGCAAGAUUUUGCUGCCCAUGGUCAAUUCAACACAUAUGGCUCCUUUAACUCGAGACACAUUUCCUUCAAAAUCUUUCAACAUCAUAUCGGUCUUAUUCAAAUCCUGAUCCCCUUUGCCAAGCUUCCGAUAGACUACGUAUGGCAUAAUGUUGAUAGGAGCUCCACCAUCAAUAAGUAUCUUGGUCAUCAGCUGCCCAUCAACCCUACCCUUUUGUGGUCAGCGGGCUUUUCAAAGAUAGCAGUCAUCGGGUCAAGAGCCAACUGAGCUAUCUGAUCAGGGAAAUCUAUUUCCUCAUCAUCACUAAAAGGUGCAAGGAAUUCUAUCGGUAACAUAAAUACCAUAUUAACAUCUGCCGAUGGGCCUUUCCCCCUGGGAUCUAACUGCUACCGAUUUCCAGACUCAGCAGAAUUCUCUUCUCUCCUCAGUUCUUCUUGUCGCUCUCGCUACAGCCUUCUUUUCUGUGUCCUUGUCAACUCUUCUAGACACCAUGGGGGAAGCUGUGUUCUUCGCACUAGUUGAUGAUGAUUUUCCCUUGAUUUCACACGAUAAGUAUUAGCAUCACUACAAAAUAUGAACUCAUCGGGAGCUCGCGCAUCCGCCAUCUCCUCAAGUUCCUCUUGGUUUCUGGGAAAAUAACCGACAUGUUCACCAAGCCUGUCAUGCACACUGAGUCUGCCCCCCAGUCGGUCGUGAACGGAUGUCCUUCCUCUAAUCGGCCCAUCAAAACGCCGAUUGUGGCCUUGAUAUCACCAAUUUGGUCUAUCAUGCCGAUUAUAACCAUUGCACACCGGGCAGUCUCUAACGGUUGGUAGCUUGAUGUUUUGCUCCCAACAGUGGAUGAAGAACGGGCAAUUCCAAUGAUCUUUAUGUUGAUUCCACUCUUGUCGGCGUAUAUCCUCUUCCCAGCGACGAUCUUCCUACUGGCGACGAUACCGAUCUUCAUGCUGCUGCCAUAUUUCCUGAUGCCUCCUAUGAGUAAUUACAAUGCCAAGCCGAGGAGGCCUCCUUGAGCUAGUGCCUUCCUGGAUCAAGCCCUUACCCUUGGCGUCAUCGGCAUUGAUCUGGUGCUGAGGAUCCACCAAUGCGCUCUUUUCAGCUGCUUCUGAAGUUAAGACUUUAGUCUUUCCCUUAGCAUCAAACAUAUUUGGGGGGAAAGGAUGUUCAUCAAUCUUCAUCGGCUUUUGAGCUUUGGAGCUAUCGAAUUUAAUCCUCCCAGACUCUAUAGCCGAUUGCAGCUAUUGUCUGAACACCUUGCAUUCAUUUGUACUAUGUGACGUUGUAUUAUGCCACUUGCAAUACUUGAUCUUCUUCAACUCUUCUGCCGAUGAAAUCACAUGAUUAGGUGACAAUUUAACUUGCCCGUUCUGAAGCAGAAAGUCAAAUAUCCUAUCGGCUUUUGUGAUAUCAAAUGCAAACUUUUCUGGCUCUUUAUGGCCGAAAGGGCAAGACAUCGGCUUUUUGUUCUUCAGCCACUCUGCCAAGCCGAUGACUGGUUCUUCAUCAGAAUCUGAGCUUGUUGCCUCAUCGACAAAUGACACAUUUUUAUUCCAAGCUUUCUAGGGUUCAAAAUUCUUGAUAUCCUGAUUAGAAAUCCUCUGCACCAAAUGACUUAAACUUUCAAACUCAUGAGAUGUAUACUUGUCUUUGAUAUGUGGCAACAAUCCCUGGAAAGCCAAAUCGGCUAGCUGCCGAUCGUCUAGGACCAGGCUAUAGCACUUGUUUUUGACAUCCCGUAACCUUUGUACAAAACAUUCAACCAAUUCAUCACUGCAUUGCCUUAAUCUGACUAAAUUGGUAAUCUUUUUCUCAUGAAUUCCAGAAAAGAAGUAUUUAUGAAACUGUUUCUCUAGAUCGGCCCAAGUAAUCACUGAAUUUGGAGGUAAUGAAAUAAACCAAGUGAAGGCCGAACCGGACAAAGAUGAUGAAAAUAAACGAACUCUUAAUUCAUCCGUGUUGGCAGCUUCUCCACACUGAAUGAUGAAUCUAUUAACAUGUUCCAUGGUUAACGUGUCAUCUUAUCCAGAAAAUUUGGUGAAAUCUGGCACCUUGUACUGAUUGUGAAGCGGGAUCGAGUCAUACGCAGGAGGAUACAGUGUCCGAUAAGAGUAAGUAUUGACUUUGGGCUUUAUCCCAAAUUGAUCCUUCAUUACUUCAGCUAUUUUAUCGGCCCAAUAAGCAUCGGCAUCCUGCCGAUGUGCAAGUUGAGGUUCUGGUGCCUGCUGAUAAGCUUCCACGUGUCUCUAAUGUGCACGAUCUCUCGGGAACAUGGCAUUGGCCACAGCCUGUUAACCAACGUUCUCCUGAGCAAGAUUCAUCGGCUGAUUUACUGGUCCUUGAUUCUAAAAACCAAGCUGCAUCUGCCCCUGCUGGAAUCCCGUAGCCUGAUGAUUCCGCUGAGCCAUUUGCGGAAAGACGAACUGCUCUGUCCAUCCGUUGUUCACAUUCAUCGGCGUAGGACCUGCCGAUGGCUGAUAGUUAGGUAUCAUCAUUAGGUUGACAUACCCUGUCUGAGUCAUAAACCUUUGAUGCGUCGGCAGUGGAUCCGCCGAUGCGUUAGGCAUCUGGAAUACCGGCAUCUUAGAAUUUCCAGUAAAAGGCCUUGCAGUAGUGGUUGUAGAAUACUGGAGAUUCUGAGUCAUCGGUGAUACUGGGGGUGCCAAUGUCAUAGGAGCCUUGCCUAUCAUGUCAGCCACUUAAGAUGUCCCAGAACUAUUUGCCAUAAAGUCUGGGGGCAUACCAUAUCCCCACCAGUUGGGAGGAACUUGACAAUUUUGGAAUACAGAACCUGACAUUGCCGAUGCCAAUAGAUCUAUAGCAAGUUGAACUUGUCCAUCUGAUGUUGCUGGAUUAGUCCUCAUCGGUGUAGAUUGCCCAUUAGUCAUCCCUAAUGUGCUUGGAGAAGAAGUAACUUCUAUAUCUGCAACGGCUGGAGGAGCCGAUGGAGUCGUAACCGAUGAUGAUCCUAGCUGAUGAUAGGCCGGGCCCACGUAAGAUGGUGGUAUCUGUCCCUCUUUGAAGGUUCUAGCCACAGCAUUGAAAACUAGAUUGGACAGUACACUAGAUUGAUUGAUUAAAGCACGAUUAAUAGCAUUGUCCACCAUCUCUUGCAAUUUACCAGGAUUAGCUUCAAAAGUGAUUUGCCGAGGCAUCGGCAAUGCUUCCUUUUGGAUCACCUCACCGCUCCUAUUGACACUGAAGGAUUUCAAACAUAGCUACUUGUAUUCCUCCAUAGCUUUUACCAUAGCUUGCUUCCGCUCAUCUCUGAUAUUGGCUUCAGUUACGGGGAUGAUGUUAUCCGUAUCGAAAUCAGUAUUUGACAUGUUGAUCUUGACGAUGGAUCUGAAUCUGUCCCACCAGGCGUGCUAAAAGAUGUGUUGAUGCAAAAGUGGAUCUGCAAACACAAAGGGCUAAUACCCGAUUCCGUGUUAAGGCGUGCCAGCCGAUUUGACCUUACAACCGACAAAGGUGAUAACUUGAAUACUUUGGUCCUGACAACAGCGAUGCGCCCGGAUGCCACGGCCAAGAGGUAUUCACGCGGAACUUGAGAACUCGCCGAGUUUGACUCGAUGAAUUCCUAAGAACUCAUAAGUAAAAAGAAAAUAUGUGAGGUGACGAAGUCAUCAAAAAGUAGAUGCUAGAAUAGAUGUAAAAACUUAUGUUUGAUUGAUUGUGAUCCUUUUCUUACAUUGCUACGGGGUCUACAUUUAUACCCUGUCCAAAAGAAUUACAACCAAAUACGACUAGGACUCUAAUUCCAAAUCGAACGGAAUCUGUAAGUAAAACAAACUCUAAUAACUAUGGAAAACAUUAAUCUAUCCACCAUAGGCGAUCGGCACACCGUCACCAUCCUAUUGACAAUUCUUGCGCCUUCUUCUGCUAUCAUCGGCAAAUCACCUUCCAUCAGCAUCGGCAACCACCAAUAUCGGUCAUCGGCAUAGAUCAAUCACCCCCGGACUUGGUCACAUCAUGCUGCCUUAUCAUCGGCAUCAUAACCCAUCGGAAACCCUUCUGCCAAUCAAGCAUUACUUUUCCGCCUGCCGAUCUGUACUCCAUUAAUUUCUCAGGUACUUGUCCAAAAACGGUGUCAACACUUUUAUACAUAAGAACAAGAAAAUUACUUUGCUGCCUUUGUCACCAAUGGAUAUUGUUAAACUUGCUAAAGAGAUUAUGAAGAAAUCUUCCACAGACAUUGAUAAAAAUAAUGAAAAUAAGUUACAUAGAGGUGCUUUACUUGCUACAACUUCUACUACUACUGCGUUAUGUGAUAAUCCAGAUGCAUCAUGUUAUACUAUGCUUUGUCAACCUAUUAUGUCUUGUGCAUUGCCUACUGUCACUAACCUUUUGCAGGAAUUUGUUGAUGGGGACGAGUCGAGGACGACUGCAAUUUUAGAAGGAGGGGAUGAUGAGGACAUCGCCAAGAUGGAGUCGAGGACGACUCCAAUUCAAGCUGGAUACAUUGACACCAUUGUCUUUUCCAAGUUGUGAUUCAUCUCCAACUCAGCUACCAUGUCACUCUCGGACUCAGCAAACAUAUCGUCAGUGUUUUGAUCAUAACUUCUUCAUACGACAUGGAAACGGGGUGAUCUUGGACUCGUUGGAAAGGGGACAACAACGCCGUCAUUUUCGAUCUGAUCCCAGCUCCAGAUCCUUCGUGGAUUAAUCAUUAUGUUUAUGCCAAGGUGCUGCGUCACCUAUUUUGGGCCAAUUUGGUCAUGUAUCGAAUUCGGGCCUUAAGCCCAUGUUGUGGGCACCUCCCCCUGGUCGUCUCCAACCCUAGGUCGUUUCUCCUUUAUAUUCCAUGCAGCCGCCGCUGUUUAGACUUGGGUUUUGUUUAGAGUUUAGUUUUCCAUCGAGAAACUGAAUCGUUCAUUGUAACUGUGGUGACAAAUCCUUUUACAGUAAUCUAGGGUCCCCGUUCUUGAUCUCCUCCACUGUGUCGAUUAGUCCAUUGGAACCAAGUUCUUGAACCCUCAAUGAAUAUUCGCGUCAUUUACAUCUGCAAUUUCAGAUUGCAUGUUUAUACUUUCUUGCUUGUAUUCUUCGAUUCGCUCACAGGAACAGCCUUCUUGGCAAGGUCAAUCAAGUUGUGCUUCGUUGAUAACCAACGGAGCAGUGGUGUAACGGUUGCAGGGUUCGAAUCGUGUUGAUUUGAAGCCGGAUCGCGAAUGUCGAGUUCUCCAUAAUCAAAUUUAUCAACUACCUCUCGGAAGAUUGGGCCUGGUCUCAUCAAGCUCGAACCUCCAGCCUCAUAGGGGUGAGUAACGUAUCCCAUACCAUAUCCAUACCCAUGGGUAAAUCCGGGUGCAGGUAUAGCAGGGGUCCAUCCCAUCCCUAGCAUAGCUGGUGGCGGAGUGUGCUGUGCUGGCUGUGCGGAUGGUGCUGGUUGUGCUGCCCUUGCUGCUUGUGCUGCCUGCUCUUCUUGAUCCCUCCUCCGUGUGUUCUUGCGAGAAACAGAGCUCCUGCGUCCUCCUUCCGUCUCAAUGAGGGUGAAGGUGAGUGAUGGGGAAUUAUACAGAGCGAGAUUCGGGUUAGGUAACUGGAUCUCGUUUGUAUAUCUCGAAAAAUAAUAUAAAAUCUUUUUACCUAUUUUGUCGCAUUUAAUCACAUGUGCAUACGAAAGAUAUGAUUCAUUAAUCAUGAUGCGAGGAGUAGUGAUGUAAAUAAUGGUAUUAGCAGCAUGGGGAUCAACACUUGCAGCAAGGCGAGUAGUAAGAGAUGUGCACAUGAUAGUAGUUGAAGUGUUAAUGGAAUGCAACCAAUGAUUAACAAGCUCAACAACAGGUGCAACCUUAAUCUUUUUGAGCGUAGCAUAAUGCAACUUCAACUCUAUGUCGUAAGUAAGAUGCGUAUCAUCUCUUGAAAAUAACGAACUAGCGAUCCACUUAUGGAGAAGCCUCAGAGUGGGGUGAUGGAUGUUGGUAGAAUGCCCCUGAAACUUUCCAACGACGUGUUGCCCCGAGAUCAAAUGUCAGAAAGCAUGACAUUGGUAACUCCCGAGGGAGAAACCUAAGUCAAUGGAGCACCGCUCGUGGAAACCCAAACUGUUGGCAAGAUCCUUCCAAUAAAUACCAAAAUCUCUUCCAAAGCAACGAAAGGUAAUACCAAAAUCGACAAUUUGUAGAGUGCCCAAAGUUUGGAACAUCAAAAGAUGUGACCCAAGUUCAUGAACGGGGGCAACUCUACUUUAACCAAGAUGCUCGAAAAUAGUAUCAAACUCAACAUCCAUACCUAUUUGGUGCAAGAAUGCAGGGUCGAAUGCCGGCGAAUGGAGGAACUCGCGUUCCUUUAUGAGGUUUUAUGCCUGCAUCUCCCGCUCGCUCUCCAAGUCAAUGAAGGGGGUGUCGGCCUCGUCAAUGGCAUGGCCGUGUGGCUCCUCCUCCUCUCCUCCAUGUGUCGGCUACUCGUUCCUUGCAGGGGUUGGUGGAUCAACUCAUGGUGGACGAGCUAGCACAAGUGUAUGGUGUUUUUGCUUGGAGAGGGAAGUGUGCAAGAGGUUUUUGACAGAAUUUUCUUGCACUAAGCUUGUGGAGUAGGCUAUGAAGCAAAGUGGAGCAAGAGAGUGAAGAAGGGAAGAGUAAAAAAAUGUGUGUGAGAGGGGUGAGGUGCUCCACUCGGGAUCCUCUCUAUUUAUAGAGUCGAUCGCAGGACGGUGAGCGCCCCCCUCAAUGGCUACUAGCUGUUGCCCAAAGGCCGAGGCCAGCAGGCCUUGGGCAGGGUGCGGCCGCACCCUGGUGCGCCCGCACCAGUGGUGGGCCGGCCUCUACCCAGCCUUUUGGCUGCUGGGUCCAACGGUCACCCCAAACGUCUCUCUGGUUAUGAUGAGACUUGGUCCAGAUUUUGAUUUUCCACAUAUUUAUUCAAAAUAUUUUUGGUUUUCAAUAAUUAUAUAAAAAUAACAUUUGGAAAUGGGAAAAUCUAUACUACCAGAAAAUAAUUUUUGUAAGAUUUCUAGAGAAACUUUAUUUUUGACUAAAAAUAAAACUAUAGAAAGGGAAACUUUUGGAAACUAAAAAUAAAAACUUACGAUAAAAAGGGAAAUUAAAACAAAAUUUAAAGAAUUUAAAAAGACAUAAUACCUAAGCUGGGACACCUCCCCCAAGCUUGCUUGAUGUCGUGGGCCCCCUUCAGAUAUCUUUAUUGGGACACAAAUAGCACAAACGUUAUUUUUGUUAUAUAUAGUUUUUUUAAGAUAACUACCGAAUGCCUUCGACAAGGGCUCAACAUUUAUAGUCCAUUGGCAAGACUCUCCUUCAUUCUUCUGUGGUUGCAUGGACGAACUCAGUAGAGGUUUCCGGUUGCCCUGGGAUCCUCUUUGUGCCAGUGACUGGAAUUGAUGCAGCUAUCUAUGCUAUCUAUGUUUCUAUCAUCUUGUUGAAACUUGUCUGACUUUUGACAGAUCAACAAAGAGUUUCAAGCUUGGCAUUUAUGUUCUCAAUGAUCUUGUCAUUGUAGGACAACUUCUUGGUCAGAUUCUCGUUGAUUUUAGCUUCCCCUAUGGCCAGAUCUUUCAAGGAAGGCUGAUCGAAGAAAUUACCCUGCGGGCGGUGCUGAUUGUUCCACCCGUUGUUACCUUGCUGUGGUGGCCGAAACCCAUUGUUGACAUAUGCUGCUUCUUCUUGGGUUUCAGGGCAAUUGUUCCCCGAAUGGCCAUCAUCACCACAAACUUCACACUAUGUGUGUGAGUUCACUGCUUGGAUGGUGCCCAUGUUGGGAUUUGCAACUUGUCCGUCCAUUCUUUGCAGCAGCAAGUCUAUUUUUGCGGCAAGCACAUCUGCCUCCUUCGCAGAUUGCGAGCCUUUUUGUGUUUUCCUUCCUUCUCCCUAGCUUUGAUUUGCCACCAUCUUCUCGAUGAGGGCAGUAGCUUCAUUAAUGGUGAGAGAAAGGAAUUUGUUGACGGUCCUUAAGUAUCAAAUUUAAUCAUCAAAUAAAUAAAGAAAAGGAUCCAAAUGCAACCAACACCCAGACUUAGGGUUUUAUCUGACAGAAUUCCACGAGUUUUGGUGUUUGUCUAUUUCUACAGGGGGUUAUCAGGAAAUAUGGAGGAAAGGCCCACACAUCGGGUUUACAGAGAGAUAUUAACGUGACGCGCAAUUUUCUAUCAUCUAGAAGACUCCAGAAACCACGGGAACGAACGGGAGGCCGAGUGGGCUCGGGAGCAGGGCGCCCGCCCUGCUACAGGAACCAAUCAUGUUCAAUCUCGCGGAUCAUGCUCCACCGACCUAAAGGAUCAAGGAAAACUGUGCGAUUCAUGAUGGUUUGACCCAACGGCCCACAUUCAUUUGGAAGGACUAUAGAAGCAGACCCCCUGGCCCCUAGAGGAGGCACCCCUUGAUCCCUAUUCAUUAUUCAUAGACAGAGCAAAAGCUAGGAUUUGGAGAUGAGAGCUCUCCUCUCUUCUCUAAACUAGAGUAGAUCUAGAUAGUAGCGAGAUGGAGAGCGAGGGAGGAUUGGAGGAGAGGUCGGCCUGUCGGUUCUUCCUCUGGUUGUACUUCGCCAUGAUCAAGCUCUAAUCAAGCUUGCUCAUGGGAUGACUAUGGUAAUCUAUUUCUAUUUCAUUAUGCAAUUACUAAUCAUGUAUGUUCUGGUUCACAACUCUUUUGAGUACUUUUAAUCUAUAGGACCCUAUAGGUUAGAAUUGUAGUAUAGGUGUAAGCGUGGUGCAUGGACCUAGAUUACUUGUGGAUAUCCCCUGUCUAGCCGGAUCGUGUGGUAGGCCGCGUAUGUGACAGCUACGUUGGUCCACUGUAGUCCACCUCCCGUUAGCAGGACUGGUAGGGUUUAUCGGCCUAUGGAUAAGCAUCCUUUGUGGUGUAUUCUUAUCACGUGGUUCAUCCCAGACAUAGACAUACCCCUUUGAAGUAGAGAAACCAUAGUUAUCCUCUCUAUUCUCCUACCAUCGCCCAUAUACUAGAUUGCUCUACUCUCUAUUCCCGUAUUAUCACUUAUUGUUAUCUUACAAAUCAAUAAGUUUAAUCAAGAUGUGCAUGUGUGGCGAAUGAAUGGUGUAUGGUGAUAAUGGUGAUAACAAUGGUGGAAACAAUGGUGGUGGAAGUCUAAUUCUACUUUGCUCUUUGAGGGGAUACAUACAUUCCUUGCUUUUUGAAACUUUAUGAGGAGAAUGAGAUGCUCUUCUUUUUCUUUUCUCUCAGGUGGGUAUCUUGUACACCUAAUUCUACUGUCGGACACUUGUCCAUUUUUACCUCUCGUCUCACUUUUUCUUUUCUUUCGAGGUUCCGAGCACUUGCUCCUUUUUAUUUCCUCGUAUUUGUUUAUUUUUUUUUCUCUCUUUUUUUUAUAAGCACUCAUCUCUUGAGAUAAUAUAGCAAGUGGUAGUAACAAGAUAACUUGAGCAUUUAUUUCACAAGGGAAAAACAGAGAUAUUUUUGGCUAUUCUCUCCCGGAUUAGGAGUAGAAUAUUUUUGGGUGAUUCUGGAGAUGGAAAUGGAUGGAUAUAUGUGGAUGGUACUUCCAGAGUAGAAGUAGCAUAUAUGAGUGAACGUGCAAGUGAAAUCUUGAUUUAACCACAUGACAAGCUCCUAAGGGUCUACACAACUUGACCACACUCAAUGCUCAUAAGCAGUAAAUAGUAAAUGUGUGGCUCAAAGUCUAGCAAGCAUGUAUAUAUGGCUGUGGUAGGAAUUUAAACUCUCAUCAUACAGGAACUCAUCAUGCAACAUUUUAAAGAUUUUCAAAGAUAAAAUUCUCCAGAAUUCUAGCAUCUCUAGGAACAGAUAAACAGCAGCUCAACCUUCCCAAAUCAUAUCCGUUAACAACUUAGACUUCAGAUUAAGUUCUCAUCCCACAAGUUUAGGUCUAGAGCAAGCUUUAAAUUAUAACAGUUAUAUCUAAACUUGAGAGAGAACUUAAAAUGUGCAAAUUAGGCAGAGCA